AAAUUUACAAAGAAACAAAAGGUUAAAGCGAGGAAACAAAACUGACUCAAAGAUGCCUUGUACGCAAAUUGAUCGAAACAAUUAAUUCGGAAUCAAAUAAUUAGAACCUCGACAACUGCAGACUAUACCUUCAUUUAGAAAGAGUGAAAGCACAUAAAUAUGCUUCAUCAAUUCCAUUCUCUCAUCCAUUCAGGUUCAAUCAAUUAAAAGAAGUCGAAUGCCACUUUCAGCUAAAUUGCAAGAUAUGUAAUCCUCAUAAAUAUAUAAACCUACAGAGCAAGGAAUUCCAAUCAAACUUGUUUUUGUUAUAUUUAACCCACAAUAACAGAAGACGUAAAACUUAUUCAAACUAUUGGAAAUCAGACUCUAAGAAUCAAUCAACUAAAAAUCAAUUUAAGAAUGUACCAUAACAACUUUAUCAACCCAUAACACAUGUAAAACAAAAUCAUAUUAACACAACUCUUGGAUACUUAAGUUCACGACAAGAAAAUUGAAGAAGAUGAAAUAAUACGGAGAAAAACCUUUUUAAACCAAAGUUUUCUUAUUAUUGGGAAGAAUUGUCGAGUACCAAACUUCGACUCUAAAUCCGAGCAAAGUCAGCGGCGAGAGACCAGUAAAAACUGCGAACCUUACGCAGAGGAUGGCAUCAAACUCCCGAUCUAACAUUGAGCCUCGAAAGAAAAACUCGAAUCGACAUCGAAACGAACCAAUCAAACCCUAUCGGUUCCAAGGUUUCCUUUGGUAAAUCAUAAAUUAAAAGAAAAACUAAAAAAUUGCAAAGGACAUUGUCCUAUUGAUUUUCAUGGCAUCUCCAGCCAAAUUGCUUGGUGGUGCGCAGUGAAGAAGCAGCAGCGGUUGCUGUGUAUGUGCGGUGGCGUGAGGGGUUGUCACUGGAGUUCGGGUGUGUGGGUCCAAGAAGAUGAAGGUUGGGGGGUGGGUCUUGUAUCAGUGAAGCUGAGAGCUCCUCUAUAUUGCAGGCGUGUAUAUCGUUAUGUGUACUAGGUUUAGGGUUUU
rnacentral:lncRNA from 1 species